ACUAACAAGGAUUUCCUUAGUAGCGGCGAGCGAACAGGAAGAUGUCCAGCACUAAAUCCGGUGGUUUUGAAAGGCCACUGGAGAUGUAGUGUUUGGGAUGCACCAUUAUGUUGCGCUGUUAGCUUGGUUCAAGUAUUUCUUGAACGGGUCCUCAUCCAUAGAAGGUGCUAGACCUGUAGAGCUGAGCGGCGGUGCAACAGGUGUGUCCUUAGAGUAGGGAUACUUGAGAUUGUAUUCCGAAGUAGGUGGUAAACUCCAUCUAAGACUAAAUAUAACCACAAAACCGAUAGCAAACAAGUACCGUGAGGGAAAGUUGAAAAGAACUUUGAAGAGAGAGUUCAAGAGUACGUGAAACUGUUUAGUGUAAAGCUAGAGGGGCUAAUACAAUUCUUUUGCCAGAUUCAUGGUAUCUCAUAGGUUUUGGUCUCAAGGCAGUUGUGGCCUGGUCUAUCGACAACUGAACCAUUAUUCGCUUCGGUGGGUGGUGGUCUCAUGUUAUCGUGUCCGGGCUGUUUACUCUGCUGACUAGCGCCGAUAGAGUACUUGCACUUCUGGACAGAAUAUACCGUUGCUUGUGAAUUCGUCUGUGGUCUGAGGGUUCAGUACGUAGGUAGUGUUGCAUUUAUGUAACGCCCUAAGUUGCCUUUAAGAUCCGCAGACAAUACGCAAGGACAUUUUGUGGUAUGGUCACAAGAUAGUGAUAUCAUGUGUUGGGAUUUAGGUCCCAUCGUAUCAUACUGUACAUAGUACGACGGUAGUGUAAAUAGUCACCCUCUAGACNNNNNAGCAAAUGCGCCAAUAAAGAGGAUUAUCAAAUCCUUCAAAUGUAGCUAAGGCAAGCAUUUUAUGUUGGGAUGUAACAGUCCCGGGAUGUUUCAUAGUUUAUUGCAAACUGAAACGUACCCAUAGUGCAUUUGCUGGUACCCGAAAGAUGGUGAGCUAUGCCUGGUACGAAUGAAGUCAGGGGAAACUCUGAUGGAAGUUCGCAGCGGUUCUGACGUGCAAAUCGAUUGUCAAAACUGGGCAUAGGGGCGAAAGACUAAUCGAACCAUCUAGUAGCUGGUUCCUUCCGAAGUUUCCCUCAGGAUAGCUGGUGCUCGAUAUACAAAAUUUCACCCGGUAAAGCGAAUGACUAGAGGUAUUGGGAUCGAAACGAUCUCAACCUAUUCUCAAACUAUAAAUGGGUGAGAACUACGGCUUGCGUAAUAUGAAGCCGCCUAGUUUUAGAAUUACGAG
rnacentral:rRNA from 1 species